CCAACGUUUGACCGUUCGUUUUAUUUGAAAAAAUUAUGAAAAGAAUUAAAAAGAUAAGUUACGUAUAAAGUAUUAAUCAUGUUUUAUCAUCUAAUAACAAUGAAAAUACUAAUUAUAAAAAUUUUUCAUAUAAGACGGACAGUCAAACGUUGGCACAGAAACCCACAGUUUGCCUU
rnacentral:pre_miRNA from 1 species